rnacentral:rRNA from 1 species
UAGGGAAUCUUCGGCAAUGGGGGGAACCCUGACCGAGCAACGCCGCGUGAGUGAAGAAGGUUUUCGGAUCGUAAAGCUCUGUUGUUAAGGAAGAACGAGUGUGAGAAUGGAAAGUUCAUGCUGUGACGGUACUUAACCAGAAAGGGACGGCUAAUUACGUGCCAGCAGCCGCGGUAAUACGUAAGGUCCGAGCGUUGUCCGGAAUCAUUGGGCGUAAAGGGUACGUAGGCGGGUAAGCAAGUUAGAAGUGAAAUCCUAUAGCUCAACUAUAGUAAGCUUUUAAAACUGCUCAGCUUGAGGUAUGGAAGGGAAAGUGGAAUUCCUAGUGUAGCGGUGAAAUGCGCAGAUAUUAGGAGGAAUACCGGUGGCGAAGGCGACUUUCUGGCCAUAACCUGACGCUGGGGUACGAAAGCGUGGGUAGCAAACAGG